rnacentral:rRNA from 1 species
UACGAAGGGGGCUAGCGUUGCUCGGAAUCACUGGGCGUAAAGCGCACGUAGGCGGAUCCUUAAGUCGGGGGUGAAAUCCUGGAGCUCAACUCCAGAACUGCCUUCGAUACUGAGGAUCUCGAGUCCGGGAGAGGUGAGUGGAACUGCGAGUGUAGAGGUGAAAUUCGUAGAUAUUCGCAAGAACACCAGUGGCGAAGGCGGCUCACUGGCCCGGUACUGACGCUGAGGCGCGAAAGCGUGGG